rnacentral:rRNA from 1 species
CGUGGAGACAGGUGGUGCAUGGCUGUCGUCAGCUCGUGUCGUGAGAUGUUGGGUUAAGUCCCGCAACGAGCGCAACCCUCAUCAGAUGUUGCCAUCGGGUAAAGCCGGGCACUCUUCUGAAACUGCCUGAGUAAUCAGGAGGAAGGUGGGGACGACGUCAAGUCGGCAUGCCCCUUACGUCCUGGGCUGCACACGUGCUACAAUGGCCGGUACAGAGGGCAGCGAAGCCGUGAGGCGGAGCGAAUCCCCAAAACCGGUCCCAGUUCGGAUUGGAGUCUGCAACUCGACUCCAUGAAGUCGGAAUCGCUAGUAACCGCGAAUCAGCAACGUCGCGGUGAAUGCGUUCCCGGGCCUUGUACACACCGCCCGUCACGUCACGAAAGUCUGCUGUACUCGAAGUCGCUGAG